GUGUCAGCCGCCGCGGUAAUACGUAGGGGCCUAGCGUUGUCCGGAUUUAUUGGGCGUAAAGAGCUCGUAGGCGGUUCGGCAAGUCACGUGUGAAAUCUCCACGCUUAACGUGGAGGCGCCACGUGAAACUGCCGUGACUUGAGUCCGGUAGGGGGGUGUGGAAUUCCCGGUGUAGCGGUGAAAUGCGCAGAUAUCGGGAGGAACACCAGUAGCGAAGGCGGCACCCUGGGCCGGUACUGACGCUGAGGAGCGAAAGCGUGGGGAGCGAACAGGAUUAGAAACCCUUGUAGUCC
rnacentral:rRNA from 1 species